rnacentral:rRNA from 1 species
CAGCAGCCACGGGAAUACGUAGGGUGCGAGCGUUAAUCGGAAUUACUGGGCGUAAAGCGUGCGCAGGCGGUUAUAUAAGACAGUUGUGAAAUCCCCGGGCUCAACCUGGGAACUGCAUCUGUGACUGUAUAGCUAGAGUACGGUAGAGGGGGAUGGAAUUCCGCGUGUAGCAGUGAAAUGCGUAGAUAUGCGGAGGAACACCGAUGGCGAAGGCAAUCCCCUGGACCUGUACUGACGCUCAUGCACGAAAGCGUGGGGAGCAAACAGGAUUAGAUACCCCUGUAGUCCCUGUCUCUUAUAC